AUUGAACGCUGGCGGCAUGCCUUACACAUGCAAGUCGAACGGCAGCACGGGAGCAAUCCUGGUGGCGAGUGGCGAACGGGUGAGUAAUAUAUCGGAACGUGCCCAGUCGUGGGGGAUAACGCAGCGAAAGCUGUGCUAAUACCGCAUACGAUCUACGGAUGAAAGCGGGGGAUCGCAAGACCUCGCGCGAUUGGAGCGGCCGAUAUCAGAUUAGCUAGUUGGUGAGGUAAAGGCUCACCAAGGCGACGAUCUGUAGCUGGUCUGAGAGGACGACCAGCCACACUGGAACUGAGACACGGUCCAGACUCCUACGGGAGGCAGCAGUGGGGAAUUUUGGACAAUGGGCGCAAGCCUGAUCCAGCAAUGCCGCGUGCAGGAUGAAGGCCUUCGGGUUGUAAACUGCUUUUGUACGGAACGAAACGGUGAGCUCUAAUACAGUUUGCUAAUGACGGUACCGUAAGAAUAAGCACCGGCUAACUACGUGCCAGCAGCCGCGGUAAAAC
rnacentral:rRNA from 1 species